GUGAAUCAUCAAAUCUUUGAACGCAAAUUGCACUCUCCUCGGAGAGUAUGCCUGUUUGAGGGUCAGCCUAUAAAAAAUCAAAAUCGUUGGUGUUUCGCGGUGGCGUUCGUCGGAAAUUGGGUCAUCUUAAAUCUUUUGGUUGUAAGGGACUUAAAAUUUUCUUUUUGGUUCCAUGAACGUUUCUAAGAUUUAUUUAUUUAAACGUUUAAGGUAUCGAUUGUUAUUAGACGUGACCAUCAUAUCGGAUCGCGCAAAUAAUCUUUGAUUAACUGAC
rnacentral:misc_RNA from 1 species